UUUUUGCGGGUAAUCCAUAUGUUGCAUCAUGUGUCAGAAUUGACAUUCUGUCAUGUUCAUAAAGAAUUACUCUAUUAGAAUAGACAACUAGAAUUUGGCUUUUAUAGCAAAAAAAAAAAAAAAAAAAAUUAAAAAUCCAAUUUGAAUUAUUUGCCGUAACACAUAAUAAUGAGGACUUACUUCUUUGGUUUUCUUGUUCCAGAUGAUCGAUCAUCUGGAUUCCAGAUCCUUCAUAUAUUGAAUAUCCUGGGCAUCAUAUUGCUCUCCAUUAGCAUCAUCAGCUUUGAGUGCUGGUUGAGAUUCUCCAAGAAACCAAAGAAGGAACCAGAAGAACCAACCUAUGUCAACAAUGUGAUGGCGACUACAGCAUCAUGAACCACAAAGAAACGAAGAAGAUGUCAAAGUCUCUGUCAGAAAGACGAUUUAUUUCUAUCCAAUUGUUCAAGUUUGUGUGUCAAGAAGCCAUUUUCUAUCUGCAAAGACCAGCCGGUGAAAAGCUGGAUUCACUGUGGACGCGUCACCAGUUCAUCACAUCCCCAUUCAUUGUGCUUUAGAAAUCACUUAUUAUUUCUUGAUAGUUUUUUUCUGCAAUUCACUGUGGUACUAAUGGAGAACGCUAAUGCUUUGGUGGAUUGCUGUGUCAAAAAAGAGGUCUCUUUCUAUUUCAGGUGUAAAACAUGCAAUGUUAAAUAUGAUAAUUAUAACAAUAAUACGUAUAUAUACUUUUGUAAAACAAGUAUGAACUGGAUGUCAGAAACAUUUGUUAUUAAUAUGCCAUAUUAUCCCAAAUUGAGGAGAUCAAACUAAGAUUUUAAAGGUCAAAACAUAUUUGCUUGAAUGAAAACAUUAGAGCAGGAUCUUUUUUAAUGUUAAUGUUUGGAAGUUGCAAUAGCCAACAGGUCUGGACACAUUUAUUUAUAUAUAUGGCAGAUAUACAAAACAAACAAAUAAAAACACAGAUAAUAAAUUUAUUGGUAUAUAACAUGCAAAGUAAAACAUACUCCUGACGUUUAACUUCAAAAUAUAGUUUUGUUUUAAAUCAUUUUGACCUAAAUGCUUUCAUGGUGAAUAUUACAAUCAGAACCUCACUGUUUUAAUAUGCUUUGUUUUUCAUAUUUUCAUAUCUUUUAUUGUUAUUAGUCACAAAUAACACCACACAUAAGUUGCACAGAUUUGAAGUCAGCUCAGCUAUGUGGACACACGUAUCAAAAGCUCCUUCUUACCUCGCUGUUUUUUUUUUUAAAUCAUAUUUGAGUGGAAAUCUAAACCUACUUCUUAAAAAAAACAAUAUGUGCACACAGGACUGUUCGCAGUAAAAAUAAGUGCAAAGGGAAGUCAGGGAAACAUAUACUCUUUAUUUUUAUACACUUUGUUCUCUGCCAAGCAAGUAAUGCUUCAGAUGUAGUUAAAUAUCUGCCUGUUUCAAAUAAAGGCGUUGGU